rnacentral:rRNA from 1 species
CCUACGGGAGGCAGCAGUGGGGAAUAUUGGGCAAUGGAGGAAACUCUGACCCAGCGACGCCGCGUGCGGGAUGAAGGCCUUCGGGUUGUAAACCGCUUUCAGUAGGGAAGAAGCGAAAGUGACGGUACCUACAGAAGAAGCACCGGCUAACUAUGUGCCAGCAGCCGCGGUAAUACAUAGGGUGCAAGCGUUGUCCGGAAUUAUUGGGCGUAAAGAGCUCGUAGGUGGUUCGUCACGUCGGAUGUGAAAAUCUGGGGCUCAACCCCAGACCUGCAUUCGAUACGGGCGAUCUAGAGUGUGGUAGGGGAGACUGGAAUUCCUGGUGUAGCGGUGGAAUGCGCAGAUAUCAGGAGGAACACCAAUGGCGAAGGCAGGUCUCUGGGCCAUUACUGACACUGAGGAGCGAAAGCGUGGGGAGCGAACAGGAUUAGAUACCCUGGUAGUCCACGCCGUAAACGGUGGGCACUAGUUGUGGGAACCUUCCACGGUUUCUGCGACGCAGCUAACGCAUUAAGUGCCCCGCCUGGGGAGUACGAUCGCAAGAUUAAAACUUAAAUGAAUUGACGG